rnacentral:misc_RNA from 1 species
AUUUUAUUAUUAUUAUUAUUAUUUCACUGGGAUUAAAGACCCAUUACACCACAUAUCCAUUUCUUGAUCUAUUUGCCUCCUUCUCUAUUACGCCUCCACAUUUCAACUGGCACUCUCUCUCCUCUCUUUUUCUCUUUCUAAAAACCAACCCACAUCUUCACUCUUUUCAUUGCCUCAAGAUUGAGACCAGCCAGGAUACAGACAGGAGUGAGACUUGGCUGGCUGGCUAAGCUAUUGAAAACAACGUUAAAGCAACAGCAACCCAGCAACACUUUUUAUCCAUUUUUUUCUUUGUUGUUUUUGGAAGAUUUAUUUAUAUAUAUAAAAGAAUCAGCUCUGUUUAUCAGUUUAUGCUUUUCUCUAUAUCUGGGUUUUGAGAUUGGGAUGCAAAGGUGGAGUCUUUUUGGCGAGCUGACCCAGAGGAAGACUCGGUUCUGAGUUAGGUUCUCUCGAUUUGAGGAGAGAGCUGGGUUUGUUUUGAUUUGGGGAGCUAGCUGAGCCAGUCAUGAACACUGGGGGUCGACUUAUUGCUGGGUCUCACAACAGGAAUGAGUUCGUUCUCAUAAAUGCUGAUGAGAAUGGGAGAGUAAGAGCUCUCCAAACCCGUGCAUUUUGGUUCCUUUUUUCUUUCUCAGUAACCCAUUUACUCAGUUUGUUGAUUUCUGAUCUGGGUUUUCUUUCAAAUGUGACAAAUUAGAGCUUUCUUUUCAUAGCUUUAGCCAUAUUUUCUUCUGAUUCUCACAGAUUUAGUGAUCUCUAUAUUCACUUAGAUUAUGAAUGUCACUUUUGCUUCCUUCAGGUUUUUUAUUCUCUAAUUAAAUGCACAUUUUCCUAAAAAUUUUUGCCUUUUCUUGGAAUUUCCUUAUUCUUUCUCUGGUGAAUCAUAUCGAAGCUUUUGUUUUUGCCAUAUAAUUGAGUCAAGAUUGGAGCAAUUUGGUUAAAAUAGCUAAUACCUACUUUUGGAAGUAAAUUGCUAGAUUUUUGAGCCUCUCUGGAAUAUGCUAUUUCAUUCCAAAGUUUCAGUUUUUCUGAUCUGUUAAUUUAGUUGUUUUGCGAAGGUUUUAGAAGGUCAAGAUUUAUAUUCUGAUUCUAUGUAAAUGCUGGGUAUAUUUAUAAGGAAUGUCCAAUAAUUUCAGAAAAUUGUGAUUAAAUUUGCUGUUUAUUAUGAGAUAAUUGAAAAUGCUGUGUGGUUAUUGGCAUAGAAUUUGGAAGCUUUAGGGUAGACUGUCAAUGAAUUUGCAUAUGGCAUAUUGCAACCUCUUCUUCUGGAUCUACCAGACAUUCAAUUGAUCAGUUCACUAUAAAAAUGAGCACUGUUGCGAGUCGGAAUCCUCGCUGUUUCUGUCAUAAACACACACAUGAGAGCACGUGCAGAAUCACAUUCAUUGAUAUAGAAGGAGGGACUGCAAGGUUCUUUGACUAGAUGAGAUUUGACCGCAUGCAUAUGGGAAAAAGAUUGCUGAAGAUGUUGUGGAAGAGAAUUAAAUUUUAGUUUUUCAGGCCAUAAAAAUUGACUGACAUACAGUGAAGUCAAAAGAAACUAGUGGUGAAAUCCUGGGAAUGCCAAUCAAAGACGGCAAAUUGACUUGUUAAUGAAGUCUGAUGAUAAAUUUUAGUAUAUUUAGGGGUGCAUGCGAUGAAUUGAAACUCUUUGCUUUCGUCUGUUUUGUUUGUAAUUUUUAGUUGCAAGCUCAACCAUUAUUUAUUGUUUUUUUUUUUUAAACUUUCCCCCUAGCAAAUUAUUUAAGUGCUAAUACACUCAAUUUGUUGUUUUUAUAUGCAGAUAAAGUCUGUUCAGGAACUGAGCGGGCAAGUGUGUCAGAUAUGUGGGGAUGAGAUUGAGAUCACUGUGGAUGGAGAGCCAUUUGUUGCCUGCAAUGAAUGUGCUUUCCCAGUGUGCAGGCCUUGCUAUGAGUAUGAAAGA